AAAAAAAGGGGCACUGGUUCAUUUCCUUUUUCUUUCUUUGACUCCCCUAGAGCUGCCUGAGAGAGAUGUAUGAUACUUUCAGCAUCAGGUGUUACCUUGACAGGCUCCCCAGCCUUGACUUCAACACCCCAGAAUUCCAUGGAGGAUGACAGAACGUAAGAGGUAGAAAGCUAGGGAUUCUAAGAAUGCAGUGGAUAGAGAAAUUUGAGAGUAAAAGAGGCGGAAUAAGAGAGGUUUUUGAAGGGCAUUGAUUUAUAAGGGUUUUUGUGGGCGGAGCUAGGCAGCUAGGGUUUUUGAGUGAACACUACGCGUG
rnacentral:misc_RNA from 1 species